GGGAAUCUACCUUUUGCUACGGGAUAGCUCCGGGAAACUGGAAUUAAUACCGUAUGUGCCCUUCGGGGGAAAGAUUUAUCGGCAAAGGAUGAGCCCGCGUUGGAUUAGCUAGUUGGUGGGGUAAAGGCCUACCAAGGCGACGAUCCAUAGCUGGUCUGAGAGGAUGAUCAGCCACAUUGGGACUGAGACACGGCCCAAACUCCUACGGGAGGCAGCAGUGGGGAAUAUUGGACAAUGGGCGCAAGCCUGAUCCAGCCAUGCCGCGUGAGUGAUGAAGGUCUUAGGAUUGUAAAGCUCUUUCACCGGGGACGAUAAUGACGGUACCCGGAGAAGAAGCCCCGGCUAACUUCGUGCCAGCAGCCGCGGUAAUACGAAGGGGGCUAGCGUUGUUCGGAAUUACUGGGCGUAAAGCGCACGUAGGCGGAUAGUUAAGUCAGGGGUGAAAUCCCGGGGCUCAACCCCGGAACUGCCUUUGAUACUGGGUAUCUUGAGUGUGGUAGAGGUGAGUGGAAUUGCGAGU
rnacentral:rRNA from 1 species